rnacentral:rRNA from 1 species
UACGUAGGGUGCAAGCGUUACUCGGAUUUAUUGGGCGUAAAGCGCAUGUAGGCGGUUUUGUAAGUCUGAUGUGAAAUCCCUGGACUCAAUUCAGGAACUGCAUUGGAUACUGCAAGGCUAGAGUAUGAGAGAGGUAGGCGGAAUUCUUGGUGUAGAGGUGAAAUUCGUAGAUAUCAAGAGGAACAACAGAAGCGAAGGCGGCUUACUGGAUCAUUACUGACGCUGAGAUGCGACAGUGUGGGGAGCAAACAGG